GUAUUAAUUGCGUGUGAUCGCAAAAGAAAAACAUUCUACACUGUAUCGAGUUUGUGUGAAAACGUGACGCGGUGGUGCACAUAGGGGUGAGAUGGAUGUUUGAGAACGCUCGGGCGUGCACGACGAAAAAGUCAGCGACAGCCCUCGCGCCUCGGUUUUACGAUAAUGAUCCUUCCGCAGGUUCACCUACGGAAA
rnacentral:misc_RNA from 1 species